rnacentral:rRNA from 1 species
GUCGAGGGGUAACGGAAGUAGCUUGCUACUAGACGACGACCGGCGCACGGGUGAGUAACGCGUAUGUAAUCUGCCUUGUACAGAGGGAUAGCCCAGAGAAAUUUGGAUUAAUACCUCAUAGUAUUACUGGAUCGCAUGAUUUGGUAAUUAAAGCUCCGGCGGUACAAGAUGAACAUGCGUGACAUUAGCUAGUUGGUAAGGUAACGGCUUACCAAGGCUACGAUGUCUAGGGGUUCUGAGAGGAUGAUCCCCCACACUGGUACUGAGACACGGACCAGACUCCUACGGGAGGCAGCAGUGAGGAAUAUUGGUCAAUGGACGCAAGUCUGAACCAGCCAUCCCGCGUGAAGGAUGACUGCCCUAUGGGUUGUAAACUUCUUUUAUAUGCAAAUAAACCUACUUUCGUGGAAGUAGCUGAAGGUAGCAUAUGAAUAAACACCGGCCAACUCCGUGCCAGCAGCCGCGGUAAUA